AUGCUGGGCCCUCGAGAUAAAGAGGGGGGCUCCAGGAUCCUCUGCUGGGUGGCUCUGAGUCUCCUGGGGGCAGGUCCAGUGGAUGCUGGCAUCAUCCAGUCCCCCAGAAACCUCAUAGCGGAAAAGGGGAGAAAAGCCACUCUGCAAUGUCACCCUGCCUCUGGACACAGCAGCAUGUACUGGUACCAGCAGACCCAGGGCCAGGGCCCACAGUUCCUCUUUCGGUAUUACAACGGGAAACAGCAAGAGAAAGGCAACAUCCCGGGCCGGUUCUCAGGCCUGCAGUUCUCUGACGACCAGUCGGAGCUGAAAGUGAGCGCCCUGGAGCAGGAGGACUCAGCUGUGUUCCUCUGUGCCAGCGGACCUAAAGCUUCAGCCAGAGAACAGGUGUGUGUCCCGAGCUGUGACCCAGUAGGAAGAUGCUCCCCUCUGCCCCGUUCCACAUGGAGCAGGGUAAUGACGUUCUCCUAA